CGGGAUAUAGCUCAGUUGGUAGAGCACACGAUUGAUAAUCGUGAGGUCAAAAGUUCGAUCCUUUUUGUCCCGACCA
rnacentral:tRNA from 2 species